rnacentral:RNase_P_RNA from 1 species
AGUUGGUCGGGCAGCCGCGCCUUCUCAAUACCGAAAGGUGAAAGGUGAGGAAAGUCCGGGCUCCAUGGAAUAACGGUGCCGGAUAACGUCCGGCGAGGGCAACCUCAGGGAAAGUGCCACAGAAACAAACCGCCUGUUUUAAACGGGUAAGGGUGAAAAGGCGGAGUAAGAGCCCACCGCACAUCCAGUAAUGGAUGUGGCAAGGUAAACCCCACCGGGAGCAAGACCGAAUAGGAGUGACACGCAAGCGUUGCUUGCAGCCGGUUCCGGGCCUGUCAUUCGGGUAGGUUGCACGAGGCGGGUGGUAACAUCCGUCCCAGAUGAAUGGCUGCCACGUGGAAUUUUAACUAAAAGUCCGCCAUACAGAACCCGGCUUAUAGACCAACUG